GGGUGCUAACCUGCAAGACACAAUAAAGUGCAUUCUUAGGUAUGCUGUGACAAACUCCUUGGCUGUGCAAUACAACUGCUGUGGCAAAGGAGAGAAACACAGUUUUUACCAUCUUGAAGUUGCAGGAUACCAUUAUCAAUUGCACAUUUUUGUGUGAUAGGGGUGCUAACCUGCAAGACACAAUGAAGUGCAUUCUUAGGUAUGCUGUGACAAACUCCUUGGCUGUGCAAUACAACUGCUGUGGCAAAGGAGAGAAACACAGUUUUUACUAUCUUGAAGUUGCAGGAUACCAUUAUCAAAAUAGUGUGUGCAAGCAUCCAGACUAUAGGCAUACAACAGCAGCCUCUGUCAAAGUCAUUAUGAAAGAAUGGUUCCACACAGCCAGAGACCGAGAUGGAGGGUGAUGAAGGAGGGAUUUAAGUGUAAACCACUAACAACAGUGUGAACACACACAAAUAAUAGUGAAGCUUUGCAGGUCACAGCUGUGAGUGUUAUGCAUGCACCACAUAACAUAUAGCUAUAGGUAUCCUGUUAAUAACUGAACUUUGGAAAUGUUUCCCAUUUUGUACUCCCUCACCUACACACCUGUGUGACUCAGGAACCCACCAUCAGUGAAUAAACUCUAGUAUACUGUCAUGUUGCCCUCUACAAUAUGGUGCUAUUAUGUGCUAAAUACUAGUAUACUGAAAGUAGGAAUAAACAAAAUGGUGGGACCACUACCUUAUGGUGCUCUCAUCUGCCAAUGACUAGUAA